rnacentral:rRNA from 1 species
GACGAACGCUGGCGGCAUGCCUAACACAUGCAAGUCGAACGAGACCUUCGGGUCUAGUGGCGCACGGGUGCGUAACGCGUGGGAACCUGCCCUUAGGUUCGGAAUAACUCCCCGAAAGGGGUGCUAAUACCGGAUAAUGUCUUCGGACCAAAGAUUUAUCGCCUUUGGAUGGGCCCGCGUUGGAUUAGCUAGUUGGUAGGUUAAAAGCCUACCAAGGCGACGAUCCAUAGCUGGUCUGAGAGGAUGAUCAGCCACACUGGGACUGAGACACGGCCCAGACUCCUACGGGAGGCAGCAGUGGGGAAUAUUGGACAAUGGGCGAAAGCCUGAUCCAGCAAUGCCGCGUGAGUGAUGAAGGCCUUAGGGUUGUAAAGCUCUUUUACCCGGGAUGAUAAUGACAGUACCGGGAGAAUAAGCUCCGGCUAACUCCGUG